UACGGGGGGUGCGAGCGUUGUCCGGAAUCACUGGGCGUAAAGGGCGCGUAGGUGGCUUUGUAAGUUUGCGGUGAAAGCCCGGGGCUCAACCCCGGGUCUGCCGUGGAUACUGCAAGGCUUGAGUACUGUAGAGGCAGGUAGAAUAUCGGGUGUAGCGGUGGAAUGCGUAGAGAUCCGAUAGAAGACCGGUGGCGAAGGCGGCCUGCUGGGCGGUAACUGACACUGAGGCGCGACAGCGUGGGGAGCAAACAGG
rnacentral:rRNA from 1 species